CCCACGCAUGACAGGUGUUCGGUCCAGUCAGUUGAUGGGGAGAAACUAUAAACCUAUCCAAUCUAGGAUUCAAGUGUUUCUUCUUCCCACAACUGGCUGGCUGAUCUGAGAUUAUACUGUCAAAACUUGAUCUAGACAAUACUAGCGAAAGGACAUGCGUGACUUUGAUU
rnacentral:ncRNA from 1 species